UUUUGUGGGCUAAAGGAGGUCCUACAGGUUAUUAGAUAGGUGAUCAUAAUGUAAUGGCUCAUCGGUGUGUAUUCAUGUAUAUACAGUAU